UGCGCAGGCGGUUAUGUAAGACAGAGGUGAAAUCCCCGGGCUCAACCUGGGAACUGCCUUUGUGACUGCAUGGCUAGAGUGCAGCAGAGGGGGAUGGAAUUCCGCGUGUAGCAGUGAAAUGCGUAGAUAUGCGGAGGAACACCGAUGGCGAAGGCAAUCCCCUGGGCCUGCACUGACGCUCAUGCACGAAAGCGUGGGGAGCAAACA
rnacentral:rRNA from 1 species